UUCUCUCUCUCUCUGUCGAUCUCUUAUGCGUGAAGAAGUUCUUGAACCUUCAAGGCAUUGCUUUUUCCCUCCCCCUCAAGGGCUUCCGACUUUGCCAUCUCUUAUGGUGUGUGGGCAAUACACCAAGUGAGAUGAUGGAGCCGGACGUCAUGAGGGGGUCUGACAAGGCCUGCCUUGAUCGAUCUCUAGCUAGAUAGCUACGGGAGAGUAGUGCUGCAGAAUUUGUGGCCGUCAUGGCCGGUUUUUCCUUUCCCAGAAAGAAGCUAUCAGAUCGAGAAUUACCGAUCCACUAAUUCUGCAACUCCAUUCAUGGCCACCACCGGCCAGCACCAAUCAUGAAUCAUGAUAUAUAGCUAGGCCUCUUCAAUAUACAGUAGCACAGUUAUAUUGCCUCGUUUCUUGCUGGGUACCGGUGAAUUGUACAGAAGUACAAUUCGCAAGGCUGGUAUCAAUAAUUUGAGCACUCAGAAGCUUAUAUCUGUAUGGGAGAAGAUGACCAAGGGUUUUAUUUAGUGUUGAUCAUUUCAGUCUCAAAUUAUCUUUGUGUAAAUCAGAUCCAGUUUGUGAUUUCUCCAUUUGCAUUCAAUUUCGAAGUUCAGAAAUACAGAUCAAUCAUGACCUUUUUUCUUACAAGAAGAUCAUGACGGCAUGACCUAAUUAAUUUAUUAAUUCUAGCUUUGUAAAAAGAACAAAAGUUCAAAAUUGGAGGAGAAACUUCUAUUUUGAAACUGAACUUCCACCUAGAAUCCUAGGCCCUAUCUUAAGUUUCAGUUCAUGCAUG